AUUGAACGCUGGCGGCAGGCCUAACACAUGCAAGUCGAGCGGAUGAAGGGAGCUUGCUCCUGGAUUCAGCGGCGGACGGGUGAGUAAUGCCUAGGAAUCUGCCUGGUAGUGGGGGAUAACGUCCGGACACGGGCGCUAAUACCGCAUACGUCCUGAGGGAGAAAGUGGGGGAUCUUCGGACCUCACGCUAUCAGAUGAGCCUAGGUCGGAUUAGCUAGUUGGUGGGGUAAAGGCCUACUAAGGCGACGAUCCGUAACUGGUCUGAGAGGAUGAUCAGUCACACUGGAACUGAGACACGGUCCAGACUCCUACGGGAGGCAGCAGUGGGGAAUAUUGGACAAUGGGCGAAAGCCUGAUCCAGCCAUGCCGCGUGUGUGAAGAAGGUCUUCGGAUUGUAAAGCACUUUAAGUUGGGAGGAAGGGCAGUAAGUUAAUACCUUGCUGUUUUGACGUUACCAACAGAAUAAGCACCGGCUAACUUCGUG
rnacentral:rRNA from 1 species